rnacentral:rRNA from 1 species
UUAAGCGACUAAGCGUACACGGUGGAUGCCCUGGCAGUCAGAGGCGAUGAAGGACGUGCUAAUCUGCGAAAAGCGUCGGUAAGGUGAUAUGAACCGUUACAGCCGGCGAUGUCCGAAUGGGGAAACCCAGUGCAAUUCGUUGCACUAUCGUUAACUGAAUACAUAGGUUAACGAGGCGAACCGGGGGAACUGAAACAUCUAAGUACCCCGAGGAAAAGAAAUCAACCGAGAUUCCCCCAGUAGCGGCGAGCGAACGGGGAGCAGCCCAGAGUCUGAAUCAGCUUGUGUGUUAGUGGAACGGUCUGGAAAGUCCGACGGUACAGGGUGAUAGUCCCGUACACCAAAAUGCACAGGCUGUGAACUCGAAGAGUAGGGCGGGACACGUGGUAUCCUGUCUGAAUAUGGGGGGACCAUCCUCCAAGGCUAAAUACUCCUGACUGACCGAUAGUGAACCAGUACCGUGAGGGAAAGGCGAAAAGAACCCCGGCGAGGGGAGUGAAAAAGAACCUGAAACCGUGUACGUACAAGCAGUGGGAGCACCUUCGGGUGUGACUGCGUACCUUUUGUAUAAUGGGUCAGCGACUUAUAUUCUGUAGCAAGGUUAACCGUAUAGGGGAGCCGCAGGGAAACCGAGUCUUAACUGGGCGUUAAGUUGCAGGGUAUAGACCCGAAACCCGGUGAUCUAGCCAUGGGCAGGUUGAAGGUUGGGUAACACUAACUGGAGGACCGAACCGACUAAUGUUGAAAAAUUAGCGGAUGACUUGUGGCUGGGGGUGAAAGGCCAAUCAAACCGGGAGAUAGCUGGUUCUCCCCGAAAGCUAUUUAGGUAGCGCCUCGUGAAUUCAUCUUCGGGGGUAGAGCACUGUUUCGGCUAGGGGGUCAUCCCGACUUACCAACCCGAUGCAAACUACGAAUACCGAAGAAUGUUAUCACGGGAGACACACGGCGGGUGCUAACGUCCGUCGUGAAGAGGGAAACAACCCAGACCGCCAGCUAAGGUCCCAAAGUCACAGUUAAGUGGGAAACGAUGUGGGAAGGCACAGACAGCCAGGAUGUUGGCUUAGAAGCAGCCAUCAUUUAAAGAAAGCGUAAUAGCUCACUGGUCGAGUCGGCCUGCGCGGAAGAUGUAACGGGGCUAAACUGUGCACCGAAGCUGCGGCAGCGACACUAUGUGUUGUUGGGUAGGGGAGCGUUCUGUAAGCCUGCGAAGGUGGCCUGUGAGGGUUGCUGGAGGUAUCAGAAGUGCGAAUGCUGACAUAAGUAACGAUAAUGCGGGUGAAAAGCCCGCACGCCGGAAGACCAAGGGUUCCUGUCCAACGUUAAUCGGGGCAGGGUGAGUCGACCCCUAAGGCGAGGCCGAAAGGCGUAGUCGAUGGGAAACAGGUUAAUAUUCCUGUACUUGGUGUUACUGCGAAGGGGGGACGGAGAAGGCUAUGUUAGCCGGGCGACGGUUGUCCCGGUUUAAGCAUGUAGGCGGAGGUUCCAGGUAAAUCCGGUACCUUUUUAACGCUGAGGUGUGAUGACGAGGCACUACGGUGCUGAAGUAACAAAUGCCCUGCUUCCAGGAAAAGCCUCUAAGCAUCAGGUAACAUUGAAUCGUACCCCAAACCGACACAGGUGGUCAGGUAGAGAAUACCAAGGCGCUUGAGAGAACUCGGGUGAAGGAACUAGGCAAAAUGGUGCCGUAACUUCGGGAGAAGGCACGCUGAUAUGUAGGUGAAGCCCCUGCGGGUGGAGCUGAAAUCAGUCGAAGAUACCAGCUGGCUGCAACUGUUUAUUAAAAACACAGCACUGUGCAAACACGAAAGUGGACGUAUACGGUGUGACGCCUGCCCGGUGCCGGAAGGUUAAUUGAUGGGGUUAUCCGUAAGGAGAAGCUCUUGAUCGAAGCCCCGGUAAACGGCGGCCGUAACUAUAACGGUCCUAAGGUAGCGAAAUUCCUUGUCGGGUAAGUUCCGACCUGCACGAAUGGCGUAAUGAUGGCCAGGCUGUCUCCACCCGAGACUCAGUGAAAUUGAACUCGCUGUGAAGAUGCAGUGUACCCGCGGCAAGACGGAAAGACCCCGUGAACCUUUACUAUAGCUUGACACUGAACAUUGAGCCUUGAUGUGUAGGAUAGGUGGGAGGCUUUGAAGCGUGGACGCCAGUCUGCGUGGAGCCAACCUUGAAAUACCACCCUUUAAUGUUUGAUGUUCUAACGUUGGCCCCUUAUCGGGGUUGCGGACAGUGUCUGGUGGGUAGUUUGACUGGGGCGGUCUCCUCCCAAAGAGUAACGGAGGAGCACGAAGGUUAGCUAAUCCUGGUCGGACAUCAGGAGGUUAGUGCAAUGGCAUAAGCUAGCUUGACUGCGAGCGUGACGGCGCGAGCAGGUGCGAAAGCAGGUCAUAGUGAUCCGGUGGUUCUGAAUGGAAGGGCCAUCGCUCAACGGAUAAAAGGUACUCCGGGGAUAACAGGCUGAUACCGCCCAAGAGUUCAUAUCGACGGCGGUGUUUGGCACCUCGAUGUCGGCUCAUCACAUCCUGGGGCUGAAGUAGGUCCCAAGGGUAUGGCUGUUCGCCAUUUAAAGUGGUACGCGAGCUGGGUUUAGAACGUCGUGAGACAGUUCGGUCCCUAUCUGCCGUGGGCGCUGGAGAAUUGAGGGGGGCUGCUCCUAGUACGAGAGGACCGGAGUGGACGCAUCACUGGUGUUCGGGUUGUCAUGCCAAUGGCAUUGCCCGGUAGCUAAAUGCGGAAGAGAUAAGUGCUGAAAGCAUCUAAGCACGAAACUUGCCCCGAGAUGAGUUCUCCCUGAGACUUAAAGUCUCCUGAAGGAACGUUAAAGACUAUGACGUUGAUAGGUCGGGUGUGUAAGCGUAGCGAUACGUUGAGCUAACCGAUACUAAUGAACCGUGAGGCUUAACCUU